UACGGGGGGAGCAAGCGUUGUUCGGAUUUACUGGGCGUAAAGGGCGCGUAGGCGGCCACCGCAAGUCAAUUGUGAAAUCCCCGGGCUCAACCCGGGAACUGCGUCCGAUACUGGAAGGCUUGAAUCCGGGAGAGGGAUGUGGAAUUCCAGGUGUAGCGGUGAAAUGCGUAGAUAUCUGGAGGAACACCGGUGGCGAAGGCGACAUCCUGGACCGGUAUUGACGCUGAGGCGCGAAAGCCAGGGGAGCAAACGGG
rnacentral:rRNA from 1 species